rnacentral:rRNA from 1 species
GUCCACGCCCAAUAAACGAUGAACAACUAGUACGGUUGGGCGGGUAAGCCGCACAGUGUCGCAGCUAAUGCGUUAAGUUGUCCGCCUGGGGAGUACGGCCGCAAGGUUGAAAACUCAAAGGAAGUUGACGGGGACCCCGCACAAGCGGUGGAGCAUUGUGGUUUAAUUCGAUAGCAACGCGAAGAACCUUACCUGGUCUUGACAUGUCUGGAAUCCCGAAGAGAUUUGGGAAGUGACCGCAAGGAACCAGAACACAGGUGCUGCAUGGCUGUCGU